AAGUCGUAACAAGGUUUCCGUAGGUGAACCUGCGGAAGGAUCAUUAUCGUACAAAAUGUGUGAGGCACGCAAGGGCUGUCGCUGACUUUUAACGCAAAAGUCGUGCACGCCGGAGUGUGUCCUCUCACAUAAAAUCCAUCUCACCCUUUUGUGCACCACCGCGUGGGCACCCUUUGGGAUCAAACCGAUCCAGGAGGGGGCUUGCGUUUUCACACAAACCCCUUAUUUAAAAGUGUAGAAUGACCCCAUUUUUGCGAUAACAUGCAAUCAAUACAACUUUCAACAACGGAUCUCUUGGCUCUC
rnacentral:misc_RNA from 1 species